rnacentral:tmRNA from 1 species
GGGGAUGUAAAGGUUUCGACGGGGAAUGUGACCUUUGGUAAGCGAGUAGCGGUGCGGAACCGCUAUAAAAUCCGCAACUUUAAAAAUAAACGACAACAAUAAAGUUGCUUUAGCUGCUUAAUACAGCUCGUCCUUUUUAAGAGCACCACGGCUUAAAACAGGGCGUCGAACAGUGGUAAAUGUGAACAGAGAACCGCCUCAUUUUCUGUCACACAGCAGAGGCUACCAAGCUGUAUAGUUUGUUGCCAAACGCUACAGUAAGGGAAUGUAAAUCGGCAAAUGCACUCGGAGAAAGCCAAAGCAAACGUUUUUCGGACAGGAGUUCGAUUCUCCUCAUCUCCACCA